rnacentral:piRNA from 1 species
UCUGAGGUACAUAGACUUCGUCAAGAGCA